GACGAACGCUGGCGGCGUGCCUAAUACAUGCAAGUUGAGCGAUGAAGAUUGGUGCUUGCACCAAUUUGAAGAGCAGCGCACGGGUGAGUAACGCGUGGGGAAUCUGCCUUUGAGCGGGGGACAACAUUUGGAAACGAAUGCUAAUACCGCAUAACAACUUUAAACAUAAGUUUUAAGUUUGAAAGAUGCAAUUGCAUCACUCAAAGAUGAUCCCGCGUUGUAUUAGCUAGUUGGUGAGGUAAAGGCUCACCAAGGCGGUGAUACAUAGCCGACCUGAGAGGGGGAUCGGCCGCAUUGGGACUGAGACACGCCCCAAACUCCUAGGGGAGGCAGCAGUAGGGAAUCUUCGGCAAUGGACGAAAGUCUGAGCGAGAAACGCCGAGGGAGGGAAGAAGGUUGUCGGAUCGUAAAACUCUGUUGGUAGAGAAGAACGUUGGUGAGAGUGGAAAGCUCAUCAAGUGACGGUAACUACCCAGAAAGGGACGGCUAACUACGUG
rnacentral:rRNA from 1 species